GUGGCCCGUCACACUGGGACUGAGACACUGCCCAGACACCUACGGGUGGCUGCAGUCGAGAAUCUUCGGCAAUGGGCGAAAGCCUGACCGAGCAAUGCCGCGUGCGGGAUGAAGGCCCUCGGGUUGUAAACCGCGAAAGUGAGGAGGAAGGGCCCGUGAAGAGCGGGUCUUGACCGAUCCACAGUAAGGACGGGCUAAGUUCGUGCCAGCAGCCGCGGUAACACGAACCGUCCAAACGUUAUUCGGAAUCAUUGGGCUUAAAGGGUGCGUAGGCGGC
rnacentral:rRNA from 1 species